ensembl:lncRNA
AUUGAUUCAAAAUGAGGUACUUCAGUAUUAAAUUAGAGAUCUUCAUAGCAAUGUGUCUCCUAAAGGUGUUUUGUAAAGGAUCCCAAUGCCUUGAAUAGACCUAAUUUGUAGGCUUAAGACUUUUUAUUUUCUAAACCUUGUGAUUCUGCUCAUAAAUCAUUUAUCUAAUCUAUAUGAUAUGCAGCCACUGUAGGAACCAAUUCUUGAUUUUUAUAUGUUUAUAAUUCUUUCUUAAUAAAUCUUAGAGAAACUAUGUUACUAAAGCCAACCACUUUUAAGGUGGUUUUUCUUGCCCACUGUGGUGCAUGAGUAACCUUUUACUAACUGGCUUCAGUUUCUGAGAACUGAAUACCAAGAAACUGGAGGCUUUUGGGGAGCUAUUUCCCAGUCCCUGACACAAAUACUUUCUUAUUUCACCUUCAGAGUGAUGUCUUUUUUUGAUGUCUAAAAUGCAGUGCAUUUUAUAACCAAUUAGCCAGGCCUUUUAGGAACAAAGGAGUUUUUCCUUGCAAUUUGAUUAUCUGGCCAGGUGAAAAUUACCCCUAUUAUAUUUAUAUCUCUCUAUAUAUUAUAAUGUGAAAAUAGGGAAAGUAUAUGGUGAGAUAUAAGCCCAAAGAGAUGAUACAGUCCCAAAGUGUUGGUCCACACUAAGGAAAUUUUCUGGAAUUCUGCAUUUCAAUACAUUUGUUUCUGAGUGAGAGAGAUGUUAAUAAUACAGGGAGGUAGCUAGGGAUAAGUACCUUGGAGAGGUCACCACUUCAUAUGUCCCCCUAGAAAGGCUGAGCUUAGUCAAAGCCAUUGGAUUGUCUAGCUGAGGUAGGAAAGUAAGCAGCUGUUGACCCUGAACUCCAUGACCUCAUUGAUAUAAUGAGAUUUGUAGUACAUCUUUGUUAAUGUAACCAGUUUAAAACUUUAUUUAUAGAAUGAGAAGAAUUUUGGUUUCACACAACCCAAGAGAAAAUGGGGUUUUAAAUUUUUUUUCUUUGGUGGGUGGGGCAUACAGUUCCUUUUUCAGUUGUUGCCGUCCAUGAGAGGCUCUCUUUUUGCUAAUUAACAAAUCACCAACCUCAUUAUAUUGGUUCCAAUCCUGAUGAACCUGCGGACUUGUUUUGUUUGUAAAUUAGGCUGUUUCAUAACCAUUACUCUUUUCAAGGUUAAUGAUAUUAUAUAUAAUCUUCUGGCUCAGAUCAAGUAAUGGAGCUUUGCUUUCCGUGGAAUUAAGGAGGAAAAAAUUGAGUGAAAGAAUCAUCUGAUCAUAUUGAUCAUACUCAAACAGGAAAAUUAAAGCCAAAUCAAAUCCCCUCAUUAUCAGUAUUUCCCAUCCUAUACACAGUAAAUUUGUUUGACAGAGUACUUGGUUUUUGUUUAAUAGAACAAAUAAUCAAUGUUCUAUUAUAUUACUAAAUGUGAAGGACACAUAAUGUGAAAAGUAUACAUACAUAAACUUGGUUGUUUGACCCAUUUAAGUGUUCAUGUAACGUGGUGAGUUUAAAAAGUGAAGUGAGCUGUUUUACUACAAUGAAUUAAUUUGUUUGCACUCAAAGUUGAAAAUAUUGACCCCACCCCCUCUUCUGCUAUGUUUUUUGGCCUGUAUUAAAUGAAAGCAAUGUUUUUGCCGUUUAUAUAAUACAAUUUUUAAUCUGUGUUUAAAAAUGGAGUUCGUCUGGGCUUAACACAUGAAAUGGGUGGCACAAUUAGUUCCACUUGCAGAACCCAAAGAUACACAAUCAGUUUUGAAAUGCAACUUAAGCCAUUAAUUAAUUGUUGGUGUGAAUUUAAAGUUUUCUAGUAUUUGUAUGGUAGUGUGCUGCCUAAGAGCAAAAGCAUUCUGUGCACAGAAUAAAAUUACUGUAGUGGCUUUGAUUUGAAUUAGAAUUUUCUCCCUGGUGUUUCUUUAUAGACUAAAACAAAACCUUUUAAGUUUCAUACUACAGGUAAAAGCUAUGUGCAAGAACCUCAAAAUGCUAAAAUCUAGCAUAAUGCCUUAGAUCUGUUUUUAAGUCUUGUAUAUUCCUACAUAGCUGUCUGAUGUAUUAUAUUUGUAUAGUGAAUUGUGUACAAUUUUGGAAUAAGUGCAUCAUCACUUAUCUUUAUGUUGUGAAACAGUGAUGAUGACACAUUUCUUCAAACAUUUAACUGUCUUUUUUUUUUUCUUUGUCAUUUGUGGGUUUUAUUUGUACAGUUCCUCAUGAAGUUGCAUCUGAAAUGUGUGUAUAUGAAAAGAUUAUACAAGGGUAAAAUUAAGCAAUAUAUUAACUAUGGUUCUUCAGGAGAAAGCUUACAAUGUUUGGGUUGUGAUUUACUUUCAAAACGGAGUUGACUCUGAACAUCACCUUGUUCACCUGCAUCGAUGUUUGUAUUUCUAGUGUGAGCAGUUUAUGCAAAGGUAGAUAUAUUCAGAGAAAUUUUAAAUACAUUUAUGCAAGUUAAUAUUGCUUUGCUGAUGCUAUUUGCUUAUUUGAUGUUAAAUAAUGCUAUUGUAAAUAAAGACUGUUGUUAUUGCAUCAUUUAAUAAAUUUUAAUGCCUUCGGGUUUUACAUGGCUUUAGAGAUUGCAGUGUGUUUAUAUUCAUUUAUUUCAAUAUACUUGAAGUUAAAUAGAUAAACAAAAAUGCUUUGCAUUUUUCUGUAUGUUGUAAUAGAAGGAGUUAUGGAUUUGGAAUCAGAAGAAAACUAGUUUCCAAUCCUGGGUCUUCUGCCUACUGGCUUUGUGAUUAUGAG